AUCUCAUGGUGAGGGCAUUUGCGCAAUAAUUCCUUAAACCUCUCCCAUGCCUCAUACAAAGAUUCCCCCUUAUGUUGCUGAAAUCCAGUGAUGUCAUUUCUAAGCUU
rfam:Morus notabilis contig2589, whole genome shotgun sequence.